UUUUGUGUUGUUUUGGCCAGUGCCUUAUCCUUAUUCCAUCAACUGUUUGCACUUUAUGAUACGUGUUUGUUGCUACAGGCUGCAUAUUUCAUUAAAGGUUUAAUGAACUACCAUCUUAAUCGUCUUUAUUUUAGUUAGCAUAUACCUCAUAAUAUAAUCAUAUGUAAAUUAGAUGUAAAAUCUAGGUUUUGUAUCCAAUUUAUAUAUGAUCCGAUUAGUCGACUAAUCGAAAAAAUAAUCGAUGACUAAUCGAUUAUCAAAAUAGUCGUUUGUGGCAGCCCUACAUGAGAGUAGGGAGGG